GUUAUAGGGACAAGUGAAUAAGUGCACAUGGCGGAUGCCUUGGCGAUUACAGGCGAUGAAGGACGUAGUAGCUUGCGAUAAGCUGCGGGGAGCUAGCAAACAAGCUUUGAUCCGCAGAUUUCCGAAUGGGGAAACCCACCCUUUUAGGGUAUCACUCACUGAAUACAUAGGUGUGUGAAGCGAACGCGGCGAACUGAAACAUCUAAGUAGCUGCAGGAAAAUAAAUCAACCGAGAUUCCCAAAGUAGUGGCGAGCGAAAUGGGAAGAGCCUGUACGUGAUAGUCGGACUGAUAGUGGAAUGCUCUGGAAAUGGCAGCCAUAGCGGGUGAUAGCCCCGUACACGAAAUCAGACCGGUGGUACUAAGCGUACGACAAGUAGGGCGGGACACGAGAAAUCCUGUCUGAAUAUGGGGGGACCAUCCUCCAAGGCUAAAUACUCGUAAUCGACCGAUAGUGAACCAGUACCGUGAGGGAAAGGCGAAAAGAACCCCGGGAGGGGAGUGAAAUAGAUCCUGAAACCGUGUGCAUACAAACAGUAGGAGCCUCCUUGUGGGGUGACUGCGUACCUUUUGUAUAAUGGGUCAGCGACUUACAUUCAGUGGCAAGGUUAACCGAAUAGGGAAGCCGUAGAGAAAUCGAGUCCGAACAGGGCGAUAGUCGCUGGGUGUAGACCCGAAA
rnacentral:rRNA from 1 species